rnacentral:rRNA from 1 species
GCCGGUAGAGUGGCGGACGGGUGAGUAACGCGUAGGGAUCUACCUGGUAGUGGGGGACAACUUGGGGAAACUCAAGCUAAUACCGCAUACGCCCCAAGGGGGAAAGCAUGGGAUCUUCGGACCAUGUGCUAUCAGAUGAACCUGCGUCGGAUUAGCUAGUUGGUAGGGUAAAGGCCUACCAAGGCGACGAUCCGUAGCUGGUCUGAGAGGAUGAUCAGCCACACUGGGACUGAGACACGGCCCAGACUCC